UCCCGGCGUGUGGGGCCGGGCUCGGCCGCUCCCGGGCUCGAUAUUGCGGUCGCCGAGCCGGUACCGGCCCCUUGGCGAGCCCGAAGCGGAGGGACAAGGGACUGAGGCGUUCCCGCGCGCGCGCGCGUGUAUGUGGAGGAGCCGCGCGCGUCCGCGUAACGGUCGUUGGGCAACGGGCGCAACGGAAGGCAGUUAAAAACCGAUGGGCGCCGCUUCUCAGCAUCGCCCUGUGGGAAGGGAAGGGGGAAGACGAGUCCCGGAUUGCUCCCCGCUGAGCGCUGGGCAGAAGAGGCCUCACCUACUCAGCUGCUCCCCUUAAGGAGCAGUUCCACAUGUCCAAUCAUCCUUGUGCUUCUCAUUUUUCAGUUGUAACAUGUCAUUCUGGUGACAAGAAGGCUGGAACUACACACAAUAUUCAAGGGACAACUUCUUCAGAAGGAGACUAGUUUCCUCUAAGAACCUCAUGAGAUACCCCACUGGUGCCAGAACAGUGCUUGGACCAAGGCAGUACAGGACUGCAGACUCCUCGUACAGUUACUACUCGUCCUGCAAGUAGAGAUCGAAGCCACCCUGGGGACUCCCAAAGAGAGAACUGGUUCUACAGUUUCUCUGUCAACCUGCCCACUUGCUAAUGGCAGCUGAGGACUACGAGAUAUACAGCAGGGUGAAUUUAACUAAAGCAGCUUCGGGGAGUGGUGCAUACUCCAGGCUGCUUCUGAUCACAGAUGACAAGGGGGCAUUUUCCAUUCUCUCCCAGAGGAAUUGCAAAUGUGCAGCAGGUAUAGCCGAUGUUCAGGAAAACUCGCUGCCUGCAACUACGCACUACUUAAUUCUAUUAAAUCCUUGCAUUUGUAGUUUGCCUUUGAGACUGCUGCCAGUACACGAGUUUGCUUGCAUGAAUGACGAUGAUGAGGGAAUCCAGCAAAGCUGAUAAACUUCUCAGAGAUGGAUCCUGCUCUUCUGCUGUCUACGGUGUGAGAUCAUACCUGUCAAGUAUGAAGCUGGAAGGAUUAAAUAUACCGUAGUGUUGGCAAAGCCUGCUGCAGUUAAGACAGCUGGGGUCACUUGAUGGCUCCCAAGAAGUCGACCUGAAUUUUGCUAUUAUGUGAGAUGACAAGUACAUCCAAGGACUUCAAACAUCAUCUUUCAAGCAAACAAAUAAAGGCUUAUUGAGGCACUGGAA